rnacentral:lncRNA from 10 species
AAGAGGAAUGUGGGAGCCUUUGGAAUGUUUCGAGCAGAGCAGUGACAUGGCCUGACUUAAAAUUUACAGGACAUAGGUGCUAGUUUACAAAUUCACAGAAACAGACUACGAUGAAGAGAAUAGACAAGGGAGGGCAAAGGCAGAGGCAAGAGUUGUCUGGGGGCUGUGGCAAGUAUCUAACCAGAGACAGUGGCGGAUAGGCAGGGAGCAGCAGCGGAAGCAGAGGCAGGAGACUUUCCUGUCUGAUCAGGUGUGGAGCGUGAAGAUAAAAGAUACAGCAAGAUGACCCCAAUGUAUGGAGCCUGAACAACCAGAAGGAUGGUGGUGCUGGAUGCAAAUUGGGCCAACUCCUAGGACACACACAGCUUCCCUCUGGGUCUAGCUCCGGCAGCACAGAUGGCUCCCCGAGCGCCUGGCUCCUGCAGGGCGCAGCAGCAUCCCUUGGCAGCCCUCAGGUGACUUUGCAGCACAGUGCCGCUGAGAAUUCCAAGGACCCAGAGAAGAAGGGAGCCACAAGAUUGGAGGAACCUGGGUCUCUGAAUGUCUGUGAGGGACCCACCCUGACACACCCUGUAUCUGAAAGUGAUGUGUGUGAAAAAUAAACAUUUGUGGUGUUAAGUGACU